GUGCCAGCCGCCGCGGUAAUACCGGCAGCCCGAGUGAUGGCCGAUCUUAUUGGGCCUAAAGCGUCCGUAGCUGGCCGACCAAGUCUCCCGGGAAAUCCACCCGCCCAACGGGUGGGCGUCCGGUAGAAACUGGCCGGCUUGGAACCGGAAGGCUCGGAGAGUACGUCCGGGGUAGGAGUGAAAUCCUGUAAUCCUGGACGGACCGCCGGUGGCGAAAGCGCCUCGGGAAGACGGACCCGACAGUGAGGGACGAAAGCUGGGAUCUCGAAUCGGAUUAGAUACCCGGGUAGUCC
rnacentral:rRNA from 1 species